rnacentral:rRNA from 1 species
GAGUUUGAUCCUGGCUCAGGACGAACGCUGGCGGCGUGCUUAACACAUGCAAGUCGAACGAUGAACCGGUUUCGGCCGGGGAUUAGUGGCGAACGGGUGAGUAACACGUGGGCAAUCUGCCCUGCACUCUGGGACAAGCCCUGGAAACGGGGUCUAAUACCGGAUACGACGUGCUCCCGCAUGGGAUGCGCGUGGAAAGCUCCGGCGGUGCAGGAUGAGCCCGCGGCCUAUCAGCUUGUUGGUGGGGUGAUGGCCUACCAAGGCGACGACGGGUAGCCGGCCCGUCGAGAGGGCGGACCGGCCCGA